CUGUUGUUGUCCUCUUACUGCUAGACAUGACUUCACCACCAAGGUGAUUCAUCUGUUGUUGUCCUCUUGCUGCUAGACAUUUGUAUUUGUAUUGAUUAUGGAUCCCCAGUAGCUGCUGCCAAAGCAGAAGCUACUCUUCCUGGGGUCCAGCAAAAUUAAGGAAGGUUAUACAAUUUAAAAAACCUUACAGUUCAUUCACAGAUUUUACAACUCACUGGUGGCCCUCAGGCCCCUACUCUGCCUCUACCACAUAUCUACAGUACUAAAUCCAUGUGUAUGUAUAGAGCAUAUGUUAUCGUGUGUGUGUGUGUGUGUGUGUGUGUGUGUGUGUGUGUGUGUGUGUGUGUGUGUGUGUGUGUGUGUGUGUGUGUGUGUGUGUGUGCCAAUGUUUGUGUUGCUUCACAGUCCCCGCUGUUCCAUAAGGUGUUUUUUUAAUCUGUUUUCUAUUUCUAAUUUACUGCUUAGCGUCACUCACUUUAUAUGGAAUAGAGUUCCAUGUAGUCAUGGCUCUAUGUAGUACUGUGUGCCUCCCAUAGUCUGUUCUGGACUUGGGGACUGUGAAGAGACUUCACCAUGUCCUCUUGCUGCUAGACAUGACUUCAGCACUAAGGUGAUUCAUCUGUUGUUGUCCUCUUACUGCUAGACAUGACUUCACCACUAAGGUGAUUCAUCUGUUGUUGUCCUCUUACUGAUAGACAUGACUUCACCACUAAGGUGAUUCAUCUGUUGACUCGAACUCACUCAUGAGACAACGCACAUGGCAAACAAAUCAAGCUUUUGGCAAAGGGUAACACAAAACUCCCCUCUCUAAAAAGGAAAUCAUAAUUAGUAACUGAAAACACCUGAUUGUCAUUAUAGUCUCGAGGGCGAUCUCUGCCACCUUCUGGUGACAGGCGGAACAAUGACAGUACCUAUUCUAGUAUUCUAGGAGCAUCUUCACACGCUGAGCUGGGACAACCGCCACGUAGUUGGUUGAAGUCCCGAACAAGGCCCGGGUCCAGAAUGUCCCAGGCAGGCACCCAUGCCCACUCCUCUGGGCCGUAACACUCCCAGUCCACCAGGUACUGCAGGUUGCCCCGGACCCAACGAACCUUUAGCAGACGCCGGGCGGCUGUCAACCGGUCGAGGGAGCGGAGGGGCCGGUGUAGUAGGGAGAAGGACUGGUCCUUACCAACUUGAGACAGGAUUGCUGAGGCUCAAGCUCUUGAGCACUUUUAAUAAUGUGAAAUGUCAGAAUAAUAGUAGAGAG
rnacentral:lncRNA from 1 species